rnacentral:lncRNA from 1 species
CUUCUAUUAUCAUAGGCAUGCAUAGCAGGUACCUAGGCCUGUGGUGACCCCGGCAGCAACUCCAAGUGACUUACCCACAUACCCCAAACCCUGCUGUGAUUCUGCUUCCCACAAAAGCAGCCUGCACAGGGCCCUUCUCAGUGCACAGAUGUCCAGCUCCAUGGGAGGGCCUCUGGCAGCCAGAAAGAGGAGGAAGGAGAGAAGGAAGGGGAAGUGGUCAUGCAUAUACGGGGACCUUACCAACUCCUGCAGGCCGUGCAGCCUCAGCAAAUCACACCAGGAGAAGGAGUCCUGCUUCCUCAGGACUAAAAAGAAGACCAAAGAGCAACUGUUCACAGCAGGCCAAGUUUACAAAACGGUGGUGGAGAAAAUGAAUAAUUUACGAGGAUGAAUGCAAGGCCAUGUGAAGUGAUCUCUAUACACACAGGAAGGUACCACAGGAAGCCAACAGUGAAUGUCUGGAGCCCAACACUGUGCCAGGCCCCACAGGGCACACUCUGGAGCUGGUAAAGGUGGAGCAGCACUGCCAGGAGUUGGGAGCUCAGUCUCUAGACUCACACAGACCUGAGCUCACACCUAAGUUCUCCACUUGUAAGCUGUGUGGCCCAGGACAAGUUCAUUAACCUCUCUGGGCCUCAAUUCCUCAUCUGUAAAACGAGGAUACUUAUUUGGGAUAUUCUUGUUUGAAAGGAUU